rnacentral:rRNA from 1 species
GGAAACUGCCUGAUGGAGGGGGAUAACUACUGGAAACGGUAGCUAAUACCGCAUAACGUCGCAAGACCAAAGAGGGGGACCUUCGGGCCUCUUGCCAUCAGAUGUGCCCAGAUGGGAUUAGCUAGUAGGUGGGGUAAUGGCUCACCUAGGCGACGAUCCCUAGCUGGUCUGAGAGGAUGACCAGCCACACUGGAACUGAGACACGGUCCAGACUCCUACGGGAGGCAGCAGUGGGGAAUAUUGCACAAUGGGCGCAAGCCUGAUGCAGCCAUGCCGCGUGUAUGAAGAAGGCCUUCGGGUUGUAAAGUACUUUCAGCGAGGAGGAAGGCAUUGAGGUUAAUAACCUCAGUGAUUGACGUUACUCGCAGAAGAAGCACCGGCUAACUCCGUGCCAGCAGCCGCGGUAAUACGGAGGGUGCAAGCGUUUAUCGGAAUUACUGGGCGUAAAGCGCACGCAGGCGGUCUGUCAAGUCGGAUGUGAAAUCCCCGGGCUCAACCUGGGAACUGCAUUCGAAACUGGCAGGCUAGAGUCUUGUAGAGGGGGGUAGAAUUCCAGGUGUAGCGGUGAAAUGCGUAGAGAUCUGGAGGAAUACCGGUGGCGAAGGCGGCCCCCUGGACAAAGACUGACGCUCAGGUGCGAAAGCGUGGGGAGCAAACAGGAUUAGAUACCCUGGUAGUCCACGCCGUAAACGA